AAUUAACUCCCAACUUAAAUCAAAUGUUUUGAUUUAGAAGGUGCAGAUCUCAUUGGUCCAAAUUGUCUCUAUGAUGAAUUCUUGACUAAGGAAAUGAAAAUAACAAUAAACAACAAUAGUUUCAUAAUUGUCAGCCUUUCUAUAUGUUCUAGCUGUUCUUUUGCUCAUUCUUUGUAUGUAGACUAUCAAAAGAUACCCCCCUAAAAAUUGGAACAAUGGCC
rnacentral:lncRNA from 1 species